rnacentral:rRNA from 1 species
GACGAACGCUGGCGGCGUGCUUAACACAUGCAAGUCGAACGGAAAGGCCCCCAUCUUGGUGGGGGUGCGCGAGUGGCGAACGGGUGAGUAACACGUGGGUGAUCUGCCCUGUACUUCGGGAUAACCUUGGGAAACUGGGUCUAAUACCGGAUAGGACCAUGGUUUAGUGUCUCAUGGAGUGAAGUUCAUUGUUUUGGUCCCGGAUGGGCUCGUGGCCUGUCAGUUGGUUGGUGGGGUAAUUACCUACCAAGGCGUCGACGGGUAACCGGCCUGCGCGGGUGGCCGGCCAAGAUGGGACACAGAUACGGCCCAGCUGCGGAAGGGAGGAGGCGGUGAGGGAUAGCACAGGAUGGGAGCAAGACGGAGCAAGCGAGGGCGCGUGGUGGAGGACGGCCGUCGGGUAGGAAACUCCUUUCGUGAGGAACGAAGCCGCACUUUUUUUGGGUGUGGUGAAGGUACCCUUGUUAAGAAGCACCGGCUAACUACGUG